GAGACCUCAGGUCAGGCGGGGCUACCCGCUGAGUUUAA
rnacentral:rRNA from 15 species